CAGGCCUAACACAUGCAAGUCGAGCGGCAGCGGAAAGUAGCUUGCUACUUUGCCGGCGAGCGGCGGACGGGUGAGUAAUGUCUGGGAAACUGCCUGAUGGAGGGGGAUAACUACUGGAAACGGUAGCUAAUACCGCAUGACCUCGAAAGAGCAAAGUGGGGGAUCUUCGGACCUCACGCCAUCGGAUGUGCCCAGAUGGGAUUAGCUAGUAGGUGAGGUAAUGGCUCACCUAGGCGACGAUCCCUAGCUGGUCUGAGAGGAUGACCAGCCACACUGGAACUGAGACACGGUCCAGACUCCUACGGGAGGCAGCAGUGGGGAAUAUUGCACAAUGGGCGCAAGCCUGAUGCAGCCAUGCCGCGUGUGUGAAGAAGGCCUUAGGGUUGUAAAGCACUUUCAGCGAGGAGGAAGG
rnacentral:rRNA from 1 species